rnacentral:tRNA from 1 species
GCCCUGGUGAUGAAAAGGUAGACAUAAUUGACUCAAAAUCAAUCGCUUAACGGCGUGGAGGUUCGAAUCCUCUUCAGGGCA